rnacentral:rRNA from 1 species
GUCUGAAGUUAUACCACCUUGAAAGCAUCCGAUCUCAUGUGCUCUCAGAAACUAAGCAGGGUCAGGCCUGAUUGGUACUUGGAUGGGAGAAAUGUAUAAGGUAGCCAGUGA